GAGCGAACGGGGAGNCGUACACGGUGGAUGCCCUGGCAGUCAGAGGCGAUGAAGGACGUGCUAAUCUGCGAUAAGCGUCGGUAAGGUGAUAUGAACCGUUAUAACCGGCGAUUUCCGAAUGGGGAAACCCAGUGUGUUUCGACACACUAUCAUUAACUGAAUCCAUAGGUUAAUGAGGCGAACCGGGGGAACUGAAACAUCUAAGUACCCCGAGGAAAAGAAAUCAACCGAGAUUCCCCCAGUAGCGGCGAGCGAACGGGGAGCAGCCCAGAGCCUGAAUCAGUGUGUGUGUUAGUGGAAGCGUCUGGAAAGGCGCGCGAUACAGGGUGACAGCCCCGUACACAAAAAUGCACAUGCUGUGAGCUCGAUGAGUAGGGCGGGACACGUGGUAUCCUGUCUGAAUAUGGGGGGACCAUCCUCCAAGGCUAAAUACUCCUGACUGACCGAUAGUGAACCAGUACCGUGAGGGAAAGGCGAAAAGAACCCCGGCGAGGGGAGUGAAAAAGAACCUGAAACCGUGUACGUACAAGCAGUGGGAGCACGCUUAGGCGUGUGACUGCGUACCUUUUGUAUAAUGGGUCAGCGACUUAUAUUCUGUAGCAAGGUUAACCGAAUAGGGGAGCCGAAGGGAAACCGAGUCUUAACUGGGCGUUAAGUUGCAGGGUAUAGACCCGAAACCCGGUGAUCUAGCCAUGGGCAGGUUGAAGGUUGGGUAACACUAACUGGAGGACCGAACCGACUAAUGUUGAAAAAUUAGCGGAUGACUUGUGGCUGGGGGUGAAAGGCCAAUCAAACCGGGAGAUAGCUGGUUCUCCCCGAAAGCUAUUUAGGUAGCGCCUCGUGAAUUCAUCUCCGGGGGUAGAGCACUGUUUCGGCAAGGGGGUCAUCCCGACUUACCAACCCGAUGCAAACUGCGAAUACCGGAGAAUGUUAUCACGGGAGACACACGGCGGGUGCUAACGUCCGUCGUGAAGAGGGAAACAACCCAGACCGCCAGCUAAGGUCCCAAAGUCAUGGUUAAGUGGGAAACGAUGUGGGAAGGCCCAGACAGCCAGGAUGUUGGCUUAGAAGCAGCCAUCAUUUAAAGAAAGCGUAAUAGCUCACUGGUCGAGUCGGCCUGCGCGGAAGAUGUAACGGGGCUAAACCAUGCACCGAAGCUGCGGCAGCGACGCUUAUGCGUUGUUGGGUAGGGGAGCGUUCUGUAAGCCUGCGAAGGUGUGCUGUGAGGCAUGCUGGAGGUAUCAGAAGUGCGAAUGCUGACAUAAGUAACGAUAAAGCGGGUGAAAAGCCCGCUCGCCGGAAGACCAAGGGUUCCUGUCCAACGUUAAUCGGGGCAGGGUGAGUCGACCCCUAAGGCGAGGCCGAAAGGCGUAGUCGAUGGGAAACAGGUUAAUAUUCCUGUACUUGGUGUUACUGCGAAGGGGGGACGGAGAAGGCUAUGUUGGCCGGGCGACGGUUGUCCCGGUUUAAGCGUGUAGGCUGGUUUUCCAGGCAAAUCCGGAAAAUCAAGGCUGAGGCGUGAUGACGAGGCACUACGGUGCUGAAGCAACAAAUGCCCUGCUUCCAGGAAAAGCCUCUAAGCAUCAGGUAACAUCAAAUCGUACCCCAAACCGACACAGGUGGUCAGGUAGAGAAUACCAAGGCGCUUGAGAGAACUCGGGUGAAGGAACUAGGCAAAAUGGUGCCGUAACUUCGGGAGAAGGCACGCUGAUAUGUAGGUGAAGUCCCUCGCGGAUGGAGCUGAAAUCAGUCGAAGAUACCAGCUGGCUGCAACUGUUUAUUAAAAACACAGCACUGUGCAAACACGAAAGUGGACGUAUACGGUGUGACGCCUGCCCGGUGCCGGAAGGUUAAUUGAUGGGGUUAGCGCAAGCGAAGCUCUUGAUCGAAGCCCCGGUAAACGGCGGCCGUAACUAUAACGGUCCUAAGGUAGCGAAAUUCCUUGUCGGGUAAGUUCCGACCUGCACGAAUGGCGUAAUGAUGGCCAGGCUGUCUCCACCCGAGACUCAGUGAAAUUGAACUCGCUGUGAAGAUGCAGUGUACCCGCGGCAAGACGGAAAGACCCCGUGAACCUUUACUAUAGCUUGACACUGAACAUUGAGCCUUGAUGUGUAGGAUAGGUGGGAGGCUUUGAAGUGUGGACGCCAGUCUGCAUGGAGCCGACCUUGAAAUACCACCCUUUAAUGUUUGAUGUUCUAACGUGGACCCGUAAUCCGGGUUGCGGACAGUGUCUGGUGGGUAGUUUGACUGGGGCGGUCUCCUCCUAAAGAGUAACGGAGGAGCACGAAGGUUGGCUAAUCCUGGUCGGACAUCAGGAGGUUAGUGCAAUGGCAUAAGCCAGCUUGACUGCGAGCGUGACGGCGCGAGCAGGUGCGAAAGCAGGUCAUAGUGAUCCGGUGGUUCUGAAUGGAAGGGCCAUCGCUCAACGGAUAAAAGGUACUCCGGGGAUAACAGGCUGAUACCGCCCAAGAGUUCAUAUCGACGGCGGUGUUUGGCACCUCGAUGUCGGCUCAUCACAUCCUGGGGCUGAAGUAGGUCCCAAGGGUAUGGCUGUUCGCCAUUUAAAGUGGUACGCGAGCUGGGUUUAGAACGUCGUGAGACAGUUCGGUCCCUAUCUGCCGUGGGCGCUGGAGAACUGAGGGGGGCUGCUCCUAGUACGAGAGGACCGGAGUGGACGCAUCACUGGUGUUCGGGUUGUCAUGCCAAUGGCACUGCCCGGUAGCUAAAUGCGGAAGAGAUAAGUGCUGAAAGCAUCUAAGCACGAAACUUGCCCCGAGAUGAGUUCUCCCUGACUCCUUGAGAGUCCUGAAGGAACGUUGAAGACGACGACGUUGAUAGGCCGGGUGUGUAAGCGCAGCGAUGCGUUGAGCUAACCGGUACUAAUGAACCGUGAGGCUUAACCUU
rnacentral:rRNA from 1 species